rnacentral:rRNA from 1 species
CCUACGGGCGGCAGCAGUGAGGAAUAUUGGUCAAUGGGCGGAAGCCUGAACCAGCCAAGUAGCGUGCAGGAUGACGGCCCUACGGGUUGUAAACUGCUUUUAUACGGGAAUAACGCGCCUUACGUGUAGAGCUUUGCAUGUACCGUAUGAAUAAGGACCGGCUAAUUCCGUGCCAGCAGCCGCGGUAAUACGGAAGGUCCGGGCGUUAUCCGGAUUUAUUGGGUUUAAAGGGAGCGUAGGCCGCAUGUCAAGCGUGCUGUGAAAUGUCCGGGCUCAACCCGGGCCUUGCAGCGCGAACUGGCGUGCUUGAGUCCGCGGAAGGCAGGCGGAAUUCGUGGUGUAGCGGUGAAAUGCUUAGAUAUGACGAAGAACCCCGAGUGCGAAGGCAGCUUGCUGCAGCGGAACUGACGCUGAUGCUCGAAAGCGCGGGUAUCGAACAGGAUUAGAUACCCCAGUAGUC